rnacentral:rRNA from 1 species
CGGGAAUUUUGGGCAAUGGGCGAAAGCCUGACCCAGCAACGCCGCGUGAGGGAUGAAGUAUUUCGGUAUGUAAACCUCGAAAGAGUGGGAAGAAUAAAUGACGGUACCAUUUAUAAGCUCCGGCUAACUACGUGCCAGCAGCCGCGGUAAUACGUAGGGAGCAAGCGUUGUUCGGAUUUACUGGGCGUAAAGGGCGCGUAGGCGGCGCGGUAAGUCACUUGUGAAAUCUCUGAGCUUAACUCAAAACGGCCAGCUGAUACUGCUUGGCUAGAGUGCGGAAGGGGCAAUCGGAAUUCUUGGUGUAGCGGUAAAAUGCGUAGAUAUCAAGAGGAACACCUGAGGUGAAGACGGGUUGCUAGGCCGACACUGACGCUGAGGCGCGAAAGCCAGGGGAGCAAACG